rnacentral:rRNA from 1 species
UGUAGCAAUACUAUGUAAAGUCUAGUGGCGUAAGGGUGAGUAACACGUGGGUAAUGUACCCGAUAGUUUGGGAUAACGUUCCGAAAGGGACGCUAAUACCGGACGUGAUGUUAAACCGCCGGGUUUAACAAGAAAGGUGGGGACCGCAAGGCCCUGCCGCUAACGGAACGGCCCGCGACCUAUUAGCUAGUUGGUGGGGUAAAGGCCGUACCAAGGCGAGGAUGGGUAGCCGAACUGAGAGGUUGACCGGCCACACUGGGACUGAGACACUGCCCAGACUUCUACGGAAGGCUGCAGUCGAGAAUCAUUCACAAUGGACGAAAGUCUGAUGAUGCGACGCCGCGUGCGCGAUGAAGGUCUUCGGAUUGUAAAGCGCUUUGAACAGGGAAGAAUGCCGCGUAUUUAAUAGAUAACGCGGAGGGACAGUACCUGACAAACAAGCCCCGGCUAAUUUCGUGCCAGCAGCCGC